CGAGAGUUACCCAAGCCCGGCUGAAGGGGACGGACUCGAAAUCCGUUAGGCGGCUUAUGGCUGUGCGAGGGUUCGAAUCCCUCACUCUCGG
rfam:Alkalibacterium sp. 20 contig38, whole genome shotgun sequence.